CCAGGGUGCCGGGGGAGCCGGGCUGGGUGUGCAGCAGGAGCAGCUCCUCUUGCAGCUUGGCAGAUCUCCCACUCCAGCAUGGGUGUCUUCUGGCGGCAGAUGGGGCAGCGCACGCGGCGAAACUCGGCGCCGGCGGCCGUGUCCAUGAUGGCGGCGCAGGCAGGCGCGGCACCAGCCCGUGGCUGCAGUUCAGCAGGGCCGGUUUGUGCCGCUGGUCGUCGUAGGGCUCCGUGCAGAUGGGGCACUCGUCCUCACUGCCCGCCAGCACGCGGCACGGCUCCACUGCCACCGCCAUCUCAUCGCUCGACAUCGCCUCUUCCUUGCCAAAGAGGCUCAGGAUGGAGCUGGAGGCGCUUUCCAUGCUGGGAGACACCCCCCAUGGCGCUGGGCUCUCCUUGCGGGGCGGGAUGGGGCUGGUGGUGGUGGCAGCAGGAGGGUCCUGCCCUGCAGGUAGCUCGUCAUGCCCAGGUAGGAGUGGUUCCGUUGCAUCCUCCGCUGGCGGUGGGUUCCAGUGUCCCCAGGCAGCAGCAGACACCUCUCCACAGAGUUGGGGUUGCUCCCCAGGGUCCCGUGGCCCCACAGUCUCACUCUCACCCCACUGCUUGGCACAGCCUUCCCCACUAGCCGUCUGCACAGACUGGGGCCCAGGCUCUGCCUCCUCGCCUGCUGCUGCCUCCAUGAGGACAGCAGCUCCAAGGCCACCCCCCUCACCCACCACCUCCCGAGGCCCCUUGGGGCUGGGCGCAGGAUGUGGGUGCUGCUCCAGGGCAGCAGGUAGCCUUCAGCACGGCUGCCAGAAGGGUUUGGAGGCAGCAACAUGUGCACAGAGUCCCACCAUCCCUCUGGCGCAGUUUGGGGCACCCUCCCAGACCGAAGGGUCAGGAGCCAUCAAAACAGGGUGUACCCCCAUCAUCCUCACCGACAGAACACCCCAAGAGGGGCAUCACCAUGAGCAUCCAACAGCCUCUUCUUCCUCCUCCUCCUCCUCCCCAGCACCAACGCAGUCCUGACCCGCCACGGUCCGGCGGAGAGGACGCGCUGGGCGCUGCCUGCUCUGCCAGGAGGGGUGCAGGCGUGGCGGGCACCCGCACAGGCAGCUGCCUCCUGCUGCGGGCCAGGCAGGGCUGGGGCCGAGCCUGG
rnacentral:lncRNA from 1 species